CCUACGGGAGGCAGCAGUGAGGAAUAUUGGUCAAUGGGGGAAACCCUGAUGCAGCGACGCCGCGUGAGUGAAGAAGUAAUUCGUUAUGUAAAGCUCUAUCAGCAGGGGAGAAAAUGACGGUACGUGAGUAAGAAGCCCCGGCUAACUACGUGCCAGCAGCCGCGGUAAUACGUAGGGGACACGCGUUAUCAGGAUUUACUGGGUGUAAAGGGAGCGUUGGCGGGAGUGCAAGGAUGGAGUGAAAGGCGGGGGCUCAACCCCCGGAAGGCUCUGGAAACUGUACGGCUGGAGUGCAGGAGAGGUAAGUGGAAUGCCUGGUGUAGCGGUGAAAUGCGUAGAUAUUAGGAGGAACACCAGUGGCGAAGGCGGCUUACUGGACUGUAACUGACGUUGAGGCUCGAAAGCGUGGGGAGCAAACAGGAUUAGAUACCCUGGUAGUC
rnacentral:rRNA from 1 species